rnacentral:rRNA from 1 species
GAUGAACGCUGGCGGCGUGCCUAACACAUGCAUGUCAAGCGGUAUAUACUUUAUCAAAUCUUCGGAAGCGAGACGGUAUAGAGAGCGGCGGACGGGUGAGUAACGCGUAGGCAACCUGCCCCAUACAGAGGGAUAGCCUCGGGAAACCGGGAUUAAAACCUCAUAACGCGAAAGAGUCACAUGGCUUUUUCGCCAAAGGUUUCUCGGUAUGGGAUGGGCCUGCGUCUGAUUAGCUAGUUGGUGGGGUAACGGCCUACCAAGGCGACGAUCAGUAGCCGACCUGAGAGGGUAAUCGGCCACAUUGGAACUGAGACACGGUCCAAACUCCUACGGGAGGCAGCAGUGGGGAAUAUUGCACAAUGGGCGAAAGCCUGAUGCAGCAACGCCGCGUGAGCGAUGAAGGCCUUUGGGUCGUAAAGCUCUGUCCUUGGGGAAGAAUAAAUGACGGUACCCUUGGAGGAAGCCCCGGCUAACUACGUGCCAGCCGCCGCCGUAA